UUAAGCGACUAAGCGUACACGGUGGAUGCCCUGGCAGUCAGAGGCGAUGAAGGACGUGCUAAUCUGCGAUAAGCGUCGGUAAGGUGAUAUGAACCGUUAUAACCGGCGAUUUCCGAAUGGGGAAACCCAGUGUGAUUCGUCACACUAUCAUUAACUGAAUCCAUAGGUUAAUGAGGCGAACCGGGGGAACUGAAACAUCUAAGUACCCCGAGGAAAAGAAAUCAACCGAGAUUCCCCCAGUAGCGGCGAGCGAACGGGGAGCAGCCCAGAGCCUGAAUCAGUGUGUGUGUUAGUGGAAGCGUCUGGAAAGGCGCGCGAUACAGGGUGACAGCCCCGUACACAAAAAUGCACAUACUGUGAGCUCGAUGAGUAGGGCGGGACACGUGGUAUCCUGUCUGAAUAUGGGGGGACCAUCCUCCAAGGCUAAAUACUCCUGACUGACCGAUAGUGAACCAGUACCGUGAGGGAAAGGCGAAAAGAACCCCGGCGAGGGGAGUGAAAAAGAACCUGAAACCGUGUACGUACAAGCAGUGGGAGCACAGAGCAAUCUGUGUGACUGCGUACCUUUUGUAUAAUGGGUCAGCGACUUAUAUUCUGUAGCAAGGUUAACCGAAUAGGGGAGCCGAAGGGAAACCGAGUCUUAACUGGGCGUUAAGUUGCAGGGUAUAGACCCGAAACCCGGUGAUCUAGCCAUGGGCAGGUUGAAGGUUGGGUAACACUAACUGGAGGACCGAACCGACUAAUGUUGAAAAAUUAGCGGAUGACUUGUGGCUGGGGGUGAAAGGCCAAUCAAACCGGGAGAUAGCUGGUUCUCCCCGAAAGCUAUUUAGGUAGCGCCUCGUGAAUUCAUCUCCGGGGGUAGAGCACUGUUUCGGCAAGGGGGUCAUCCCGACUUACCAACCCGAUGCAAACUGCGAAUACCGGAGAAUGUUAUCACGGGAGACACACGGCGGGUGCUAACGUCCGUCGUGAAGAGGGAAACAACCCAGACCGCCAGCUAAGGUCCCAAAGUCAUGGUUAAGUGGGAAACGAUGUGGGAAGGCCCAGACAGCCAGGAUGUUGGCUUAGAAGCAGCCAUCAUUUAAAGAAAGCGUAAUAGCUCACUGGUCGAGUCGGCCUGCGCGGAAGAUGUAACGGGGCUAAACCAUGCACCGAAGCUGCGGCAGCGACGCUGAUGCGUUGUUGGGUAGGGGAGCGUUCUGUAAGCCUGCGAAGGUGUGCUGUGAGGCAUGCUGGAGGUAUCAGAAGUGCGAAUGCUGACAUAAGUAACGAUAAAGCGGGUGAAAAGCCCGCUCGCCGGAAGACCAAGGGUUCCUGUCCAACGUUAAUCGGGGCAGGGUGAGUCGACCCCUAAGGCGAGGCCGAAAGGCGUAGUCGAUGGGAAACAGGUUAAUAUUCCUGUACUUGGUGUUACUGCGAAGGGGGGACGGAGAAGGCUAUGUUGGCCGGGCGACGGUUGUCCCGGUUUAAGCGUGUAGGCUGGUUUUCCAGGCAAAUCCGGAAAAUCAAGGCUGAGGCGUGAUGACGAGGCACUACGGUGCUGAAGCAACAAAUGCCCUGCUUCCAGGAAAAGCCUCUAAGCAUCAGGUAACAUCAAAUCGUACCCCAAACCGACACAGGUGGUCAGGUAGAGAAUACCAAGGCGCUUGAGAGAACUCGGGUGAAGGAACUAGGCAAAAUGGUGCCGUAACUUCGGGAGAAGGCACGCUGAUAUGUAGGUGAAGUCCCUCGCGGAUGGAGCUGAAAUCAGUCGAAGAUACCAGCUGGCUGCAACUGUUUAUUAAAAACACAGCACUGUGCAAACACGAAAGUGGACGUAUACGGUGUGACGCCUGCCCGGUGCCGGAAGGUUAAUUGAUGGGGUCAGCGCAAGCGAAGCUCUUGAUCGAAGCCCCGGUAAACGGCGGCCGUAACUAUAACGGUCCUAAGGUAGCGAAAUUCCUUGUCGGGUAAGUUCCGACCUGCACGAAUGGCGUAAUGAUGGCCAGGCUGUCUCCACCCGAGACUCAGUGAAAUUGAACUCGCUGUGAAGAUGCAGUGUACCCGCGGCAAGACGGAAAGACCCCGUGAACCUUUACUAUAGCUUGACACUGAACAUUGAGCCUUGAUGUGUAGGAUAGGUGGGAGGCUUUGAAGUGUGGACGCCAGUCUGCAUGGAGCCGACCUUGAAAUACCACCCUUUAAUGUUUGAUGUUCUAACGUUGACCCGUGAUCCGGGUUGCGGACAGUGUCUGGUGGGUAGUUUGACUGGGGCGGUCUCCUCCUAAAGAGUAACGGAGGAGCACGAAGGUUGGCUAAUCCUGGUCGGACAUCAGGAGGUUAGUGCAAUGGCAUAAGCCAGCUUGACUGCGAGCGUGACGGCGCGAGCAGGUGCGAAAGCAGGUCAUAGUGAUCCGGUGGUUCUGAAUGGAAGGGCCAUCGCUCAACGGAUAAAAGGUACUCCGGGGAUAACAGGCUGAUACCGCCCAAGAGUUCAUAUCGACGGCGGUGUUUGGCACCUCGAUGUCGGCUCAUCACAUCCUGGGGCUGAAGUAGGUCCCAAGGGUAUGGCUGUUCGCCAUUUAAAGUGGUACGCGAGCUGGGUUUAGAACGUCGUGAGACAGUUCGGUCCCUAUCUGCCGUGGGCGCUGGAGAACUGAGGGGGGCUGCUCCUAGUACGAGAGGACCGGAGUGGACGCAUCACUGGUGUUCGGGUUGUCAUGCCAAUGGCACUGCCCGGUAGCUAAAUGCGGAAGAGAUAAGUGCUGAAAGCAUCUAAGCACGAAACUUGCCCCGAGAUGAGUUCUCCCUGACUCCUUGAGAGUCCUGAAGGAACGUUGAAGACGACGACGUUGAUAGGCCGGGUGUGUAAGCGCAGCGAUGCGUUGAGCUAACCGGUACUAAUGAACCGUGAGGCUUAACCU
rnacentral:rRNA from 1 species